rnacentral:lncRNA from 1 species
GAUCUUUAUCAAAUCUCCGGGGUUCUGAUGUGGGUCUGGGCGAACGGAUUCAAGGGGUUUUAAAGAAAUUAGGGAUAUGUGCGAGCUGGAUCUGGAUAUUACUAAUCAACACGAUGGAAUCGUAUGAUUAUACAGGUCAUAUUUUUGAAGUUUUAAAUACAAGGAUUUUAAUUUGUUUCAAGGAGAUUGGAGGAAUCAUUUACGGAUCUGAAAUGGAGGGGAUUUGGUGUUUUUUG